GGCUGAGCCAGGCCCAUAAAUCACUCGGGACAGGAGAAACCUGUGUGCGGACUCGGAAACAGCAUCUGGCAGGAGAAAUGAAUGCAGCAGAAGGGAUGCGGGGGCGUUUCGAAGACGGGGCCCUCCAACGCGUGCAGCUUCUGUUUCUGCCACUGACACUCAGCCCGAGCUACGGGGAGAGGUACGUGGGAGAGGCGUUUCAGGUAACAGUGCUCGCAGAACUUCGAGCCGCCUCGGGGGACCGCAGCCCAAUCGACACCGCGUGGGGCCAGAGAACCGCUCCGCAGAGCCCGGGCGGCUCACAGACCUUUGAGAGACAAAUGGGCGUGGCAGUUUGAAGCCACUACGUUUUGGGGUGGCGUGUGACACCGCAGCAGGGAACCGAAACCUAAAGGUGAGCGGAAGUCGAUGGACCGGCAGGAUCCGGACCCAGACCCCCGCGACUCCCAGAUCCGGCUUCUGUCCACCAAGCUGCGCAACAACAAACGUCUCUGAGUGCCGCUGCCCUGGUGUAAUUCCCCUGCCCGACUGCCUCUCUGUCUCCCAUGCUCCUGCCGGCUCUGACUUUGUCAGCCACCUCCUGGGCCUGACCCUUCCCCGGGGCCCCGGCUCGGCUGCCGCCCACGAAACCCGAAUGGCGCACGAGGAUCUCCGUCCAUCUUGCCAUCGUGGCUGCGUCUUUUGUCCCGGUACCCGCGUCCGCGCUGGCCCGGGGGGAGGGCUUCCUCCCUCCCAGCAGCCCCGGGGAGCAGGCCGCUGCCCUACUAGCUCUCCCCUGCACUCAGACGUGACUCACUGACCUUUACGAGCCCGAGACUUGAUGGGCCUGGUGUUUUAUUAACCUAAUAAAAAGGCAGUCUGGUUCA